rnacentral:tRNA from 2 species
GCGCCCGUACGCCAUCUGGUUGAGCGGCGAUCUUUAGGUGGUCGUGUAUGUCGGUUCGAAUCCGACCGGGCGCACCA